rnacentral:misc_RNA from 1 species
UCCGGUUUGUCACCGGCAGUCUCCCUAGAGUGCCCUUGCGUAGCAACUAGGGACAAGGGUUGCGCUCGUUGCGGGACUUAACCCAACAUCUCACGACACGAGCUGACGACAGCCAUGCACCACCUGUGAUCCUGCCCACAAGGGGAAACCGUGUUUCCACGGCGGUCAGGAACAUGUCAAACCCAGGUAAGGUUCUUCGCGUUGCGUCGAAUUAAACCACAUGCUCCACCGCUUGUGCGGGCCCCCGUCAAUUCCUUUAUGUUUUAGUCUUGCGACCGUACUCCACAGGCGGGAUGCUUAACGCGUUAGCUUCGCUACGGAAGGGGUCGAUACCCCCGACGCCUAGUGUCCAUCGUUUACGGCGUGGACUAC